UACGUAGGGUGCAAGCGUUAAUCGGAAUUACUGGGCGUAAAGCGUGCGCAGGCGGUGAUGUAAGACAGUUGUGAAAUCCCCGGGCUCAACCUGGGAACUGCAUCUGUGACUGCAUCGCGGGAGUGCGGCAGAGGGGGAUGGAAUUCCGCGUGUAGCAGUGAAAUGCGUAGAUAUGCGGAGGAACACCGAUGGCGAAGGCAAUCCCCUGGGCCUGCACUAACGCUCAUGCACGAAAGCGUGGGGAGCAAACAGG
rnacentral:rRNA from 1 species